rnacentral:rRNA from 1 species
GUGUCAGCAGCCGCGGUAAUACAGAGGUCCCAAGCGUUGUUCGGAUUCACUGGGCGUAAAGGGUGCGUAGGUGGCUGGGAAAGUUUGAUGUGAAAGCUCAGGGCUCAACCCUGAAAUGGCAUUGAAUACUACUUAGCUGGAGGUUUGGAGGGGGGACUGGAAUUCUCGGUGUAGCAGUGAAAUGCGUAGAUAUCGAGAGGAACACCAGUGGCGAAGGCGAGUCCCUGGACAACACCUGACACUGAGGCACGAAAGCUAGGGGAGCAAACAGGAUUAGAUACCCCCGUAGUCC